AACGGAGGGGGCGAGCGUGAUUCAUCAUGAUUGGGCGUAAGGGGUAUGUAGGGGAUUGGUAGCGCCGAGGCUUAAAGAGCAGAUUGAGGGUCUGCUGGGGGUAUCGGGCGUGUUCAAUUUGAAAAAUUCAAGGUUGGCGGAAUUACUAAUGUAGAGGUAAAAUUCAAUGAUAUUAGUAGGAAUACCGUUGGCGAAAGCAGCUUUCCGAAUAUUUUGACGCUGAUGUACUAAAGCAUGGGGAUCAAACAGG
rnacentral:rRNA from 1 species